CCUACGGGAGGCAGCAGUGAGGAAUAUUGGUCAAUGGACGCAAGUCUGAACCAGCCAUGCCGCGUGCAGGAAGACGGAUCUAUGAUUUGUAAACUGCUUUUGUAGGAGGGUAAACGCAGAUACGCGUAUCUGUCUGAAAGUAUCCUACGAAUAAGCAUCGGCUAACUCCGUGCCAGCAGCCGCGGUAAUACGGAGGAUUCAAGCGUUAUCCGGAUUUAUUGGGUUUAAAGGGUGCGUAGGCGGUUGGUUAAGUUAGAGGUGAAAGCCCGAGGCUCAACUUCGGAAUUGCCUUUGAUACUGGACGGCUAGAGAGUAGUUGCGGUAGGCGGAAUGUAUGGUGUAGCGGUGAAAUGCAUAGAGAUCAUACAGAACACCGAUUGCGAAGGCAGCUUACCAAGCUAUAUCUGACGCUGAAGCACGAAAGCGUGGGGAGCAAACAGGAUUAGAUACCCCUGUAGUC
rnacentral:rRNA from 1 species